rnacentral:rRNA from 1 species
UACGGAGGGGGCGAGCGUUGUUCGGAAUCAUUGGGCGUAAAGGGCGCGUAGGCGGCCGUCCAAGUCGGGUGUGAAAUCCCUCGGCUCAACCGAGGAACUGCACUCGAUACUGGUCGGCUAGAGUCCGGGAGGGGAUGGUGGAAUUCCCAGUGUAGCGGUGAAAUGCGUAGAUAUCGGGAGGAACACCUGUGGCGAAAGCGGCUCACUGGACCACAACUGACGCUGAGGCGCGAAAGCUAGGGGAGCAAACAGG